GAGCCGGUAGCUCAGGCGGUAGAGCAUCUGCCUUUUAAGCAGAGGGUCCUGGGUUCGAGUCCCAGCCGGCUCACCA
rnacentral:tRNA from 1 species